rnacentral:rRNA from 1 species
GGAUCCAGACUUUGAUUAUGGCUCAGGAUGAACGCUAGCUACAGGCUUAACACAUGCAAGUCGAGGGGCAGCGGGAUUGAAGCUUGCUUCAAUUGCCGGCGACCGGCGCACGGGUGAGUAACGCGUAUCCAACCUUCCGUACACUCAGGGAUAGCCUUUCGAAAGAAAGAUUAAUACCUGAUAGUAUCUUAAGCACACAUGUAAUUAAGAUUAAAGAUUUAUCGGUGUACGAUGGGGAUGCGUUCCAUUAGGUAGUAGGCGGGGUAACGGCCCACCUAGCCAACGAUGGAUAGGGGUUCUGAGAGGAAGGUCCCCCACAUUGGAACUGAGACACGGUCCAAACUCCUACGGGAGGCAGCAGUGAGGAAUAUUGGUCAAUGGACGAGAGUCUGAACCAGCCAAGUAGCGUGAAGGAUGAAGGUCCUACGGAUUGUAAACUUCUUUUAUAAGGGAAUAAACCCUCCCACGUGUGGGAGCUUGUAUGUACCUUAUGAAUAAGCAUCGGCUAACUCCGUGCCAGCAGCCGCGGUAAUACGGAGGAUGCGAGCGUUAUCCGGAUUUAUUGGGUUUAAAGGGAGCGCAGACGGGUCGUUAAGUCAGCUGUGAAAGUUUGGGGCUCAACCUUAAAAUUGCAGUUGAUACUGGCGUCCUUGAGUGCGGUUGAGGUGUGCGGAAUUCGUGGUGUAGCGGUGAAAUGCUUAGAUAUCACGAAGAACUCCGAUUGCGAAGGCAGCACACUAAUCCGUAACUGACGUUCAUGCUCGAAAGUGUGGGUAUCAAACAGGAUUAGAUACCCUGGUAGUCCACACGGUAAACGAUGGAUACUCGCUGUUGGCGAUAUACUGUCAGCGGCUUAGCGAAAGCGUUAAGUAUCCCACCUGGGGAGUACGCCGGCAACGGUGCAACUCAAAGGAAUUGACGG